rnacentral:rRNA from 1 species
GAUGAACGCUGGCAGAAUGCUUAACACAUGCAAGUCGACUUGUGGCGGACGGGUGAGUAACGCGUAAAGACCUUCCCUCACAGCUAGGGACAACAUUUGGAAGUGAAUGCUAAUACGUGUUACUGGGAGAGAGCUUUGCGUCCCAUUAGCUAGUUGGGUAGGUAACAGCUCACCAAGGCGAGGAUGGGUAGCCGGCCUGAGAGGGUGAACGGGCACAAGCGGACGGAGGCACGGCCCUUAGUCCUACGGGAGGCAGCAGGGGAGAAGAGUGGACAAUGGACCGAAGUCUGAUCCAGCAAUUCUGUGUGCACAACGAAUUUGUCGGAAUGUAAAGUGCUUUCAGUUGGGAAGCGGUACCUACAGAAGAAGUGACGGCUAAAUACGGGCCAGCAGCCGCGGUAAUUC